UCCUUGGGAGAAAAAAAUGUGAGCGCUCGCACGAUUCCUUUCUCUCCGCCCGCCGCUCGCGGCGGCACCGGGCUCGCUCCUUUCUCCCUCGCGCUCCCGCGCGCGCCGCGCCUCUCGCGCCCCGCGUUUCCUUCUCAGCAGCCCCUGCGAGCGCCCUCAGUAGCCAUUAUUCACGGGCCACCGGAGGACAGGAGCCCCCUUGGAGAAGAAUGGGGGAAGGGGAUGGAGAACAUCACGGCAAGAUGCAUCACAUGACUCAUCCGAGGUCACUCAACCAGGAGAACCCUCCCCAGCCCGGCCCCCGAGACGAGGCAGCUACAAGGGGCUUUCACCAGACAGACUGACAGGGCCAAGAGCCAGGUCCAGCCAGCCACAAGUAUGACGUCCCCCCGGCCCUGUUUCCAUACAUUUUUGUGGUGGGGAGGACUGCGGUCAACUUUCUUAGACAGUCCACACCACUCCCGAAACGCGUGACGAGGGACUCACCCCCAGCUGCUUCGCGUGAUGUGCCUCAGGUUUUGUCACCUUUAAAAUGGGAGACUGGCAGGGCCUGGGUUCUGUGUUGAGGAGGCAUGGAGAUGAGGACGUGAAAGUCAUUAUGGGGUUUGCCUCGUCGCGAACCCUUGAAAAAUGCCAGCUCUGAAGGCUGUUAGUCCCUCCUGGUCUACGGACAGAUGGGAGUUCUCGAUCGCUGGGAUAAGUAUCAAGUCUCAAUUUCACGGUGGUGGUCUGAACAUUUAAUUCGGAAAUCCUACUUGGCUGUGCUGCCGGGGCGAAGGCCCACCCGCACUUUGUCCCCCGUGCUGAAUGACCACUGACAUGUGCUCUGGGCUGCUAGUCCCCAAAUCCCUUCACAACCACCACCCACCCCACAACCAAGCAAGGGGCCCGGGGGCCCGGUGCCGCAGACCCAGACGCUGGGGCUCAGAGAGGGAGCUUAGGAGAAGUAGAAGCAACAGGAAGACAGAUUUCACCUCCAUAUAAGGAAGAGCUUGCUAACAGGCAGAGCUGCCCAGAAAUGGAAUGAGUGAACUGCCUUGGGAGGUGGUGAGCGACCCGUGGCUGAAGGCGUGCAAGGGAAAGAAGGAGGUCUCUGGGUGGAGACGGCACGCAGGCGGCUCAGACACUGGUUGGGGGAGGAGGCUGGGAGCUCUUGUCCUGUGACUUGACCAAGGCCAUGUGAGCAGGAAUGGAAUCCCAGAAGGUCAGAGCUGGGGGCCCGGACAAGCGCUCUCCUGCUCCGAACCUGUCACGUGAAAGCCCAGCGGACAGAGGCCUAGCCCUCCCCAUCAAUCCCCUGCCCACCUCCCACAUCGCAAAGCAUUUAUUUCUUAGAAGGAAAUACCUACUUUCAAUUUUGAAAGCUGGAAAGUAUACAAAAGUAGAAAGGAAAAACAAAACAAAACAAAACCCCGAAUCCCCCUCACCCUGCAACAAUUCCUGUUAAUAUUUCCUUCCACUCUUCUCCGUGGGCAUCUAUUUUGGUUAGAAGUCCUAGCAUGCGCUAGAAAUAUAUAUAU